CGAAGGGUGCAAGCGUUAUCCGGAUUCAUUGGGUUUAGAGGGUGCGUAGGUGGGGCGAUAAGUCAGUGGUGAAAUCCUGCAGCUCAACUGUAGAAUUGCCAUUGAUACUGCCGCCCUUGAGUACGCUUGACGUGGGCGGAAUGUGCCGUGUAGCGGUGAAAUGCCUAGAUAUGGCACAGAACACCGAUAGUGAAGACAGCUCACGAAGGCGAAACUGACACUGAGGCACGAAAGCGUGGGGAUCGAACAGGAUUAGAUACCCUGGUAGUCCACGCCGCAAACGAUGAUCACUCGUGAUUGGCGAUAUACGGUCAGUCACCUAGCGAAAGCGUUAAGUGAUCCACCUGGGGAGUACGAUCGCAAGAUCG
rnacentral:rRNA from 1 species